UCAUAAUCAAACUGGAUGGUAAGAUAAGUUUUAUGUAUAGUUCAUUAGUGGUUGUCGUUGAUUUCUUUGACAAUGUGUACUGAAUUUAUAUUUUUGCUAACUUCACAACAGAUGUGCCCCAGCCCCAGCCCCAGCAAGACCAGCCCCUCCACCUAGACCAACCCCUACCCCAAGACCAGCUCCUGCCCCUAGACCAGCUAAUCCCACAAAAACCAGCCCGUAGACCAGCCCCAGCAAGACCAGCCCCUGCCCCUAGACCAGCCCCAGCAAGACCAGCCCCUGCCCCUAGACCAGCUAAUCCCACAAGAUCAGCCCCUAGACCAGCCCCAGCAAGACCAGCCCCUGCCCCUAGACCAGCUAAUCCCACAAGACCAGCCUACCCCAACAGACCAGCAAAUUAUUAAACUUGAACUAUUUACGAUCGACUCACAGGCUCAGCAGCAUGUGGAGCCUCUACCACCCAGGAAAAGACAAACCCCACUAUCCACCCCGGGCCUACCAUCCACCCCAGGCCAAGGCAAACGAGCCCCACCAUCCAUCCAACCUCAACUAAAGAAAAGACAAACCCCACUAUCCACCCCGGGCCUACCAUCCACCCCAGGCCAAGGCAAACGAGCCCCACCAUCCAUCCAACCUCAACUAAAGAAAAGACAAACCACAGGUAAAGGAGCCACACAAGCCCCACCCUCUACCCUGGCCAAAAAGAAGAAAACAAAAAGUUGCAAAUGCAGUCGACAGACAAUUUAUCCAUACGAUAAAAUAUUGGAAAGACGGAUGAAUGGGGGGAAGGCAGCAGAGGUCAAAGUGCACUGGCUACCUUGCUCUUCC
ensembl:lncRNA